rnacentral:rRNA from 1 species
AUUGAACGCUGGCGGCAUGCCUUACACAUGCAAGUCGAACGGCAGCAUGGAGAGCUUGCUCUCUGAUGGCGAGUGGCGAACGGGUGAGUAAAGCAUCGGAACGUACCGUGUAGUGGGGGAUAACGUAGCGAAAGUUACGCUAAUACCGCAUACGCACUGAGGUGGAAAGCAGGGGAUCGUAAGACCUUGCGCUAUACGAGCGGCCGAUGUCAGAUUAGCUAGUUGGUAGGGUAAAGGCCUACCAAGGCGACGAUCUGUAGCGGGUCUGAGAGGAUGAUCCGCCACACUGGGACUGAGACACGGCCCAGACUCCUACGGGAGGCAGCAGUGGGGAAUUUUGGACAAUGGGGGCAACCCUGAUCCAGCCAUGCCGCGUGAGUGAAGAAGGCCUUCGGGUUGUAAAGCUCUUUCGGCCGGGAAGAAAUCGCACAGGCUAAUACCCUGUGUGGAUGACGGUACCGGCAUAAGAAGCACCGGCUAACUACGUGCCAGCAGCCGCAGUAA